rnacentral:rRNA from 1 species
UACGUAGGGGGCUAGCGUUGUCCGGAAUCAUUGGGCGUAAAGCGCGCGUAGGCGGCCCGGUAAGUCCGCUGUAAAAGUCCAGGGCUCAACCCUGGAACGCCGGUGGAUACUGUCGGGCUAGAGUCCGGAAGAGGCGAGUGGAAUUCCUGGUGUAGCGGUGGAAUGCGCAGAUAUCAGGAGGAACACCUAUUGCGAAGGCAGCUCGCUGGGACGUUACUGACGCUGAGACGCGAAAGCGUGGGGAGCAAACAGG